rnacentral:rRNA from 1 species
UACGUAGGGUGCAAGCGUUGUCCGGAAUUAUUGGGCGUAAAGAGCUCGUAGGCGGCUUGUCACGUCGGGUGUGAAAGCCCGGGGCUUAACCCCGGGUCUGCAUUCGAUACGGGCUAGCUAGAGUGUGGUAGGGGAGAGCGGAAUUCCUGGUGUAGCGGUGAAAUGCGCAGAUAUCAGGAGGAACACCGGUGGCGAAGGCGGAUCUCUGGGACAUUACUGACGCUGAGGAGCGAAAGCGUGGGGAGCGAACAGG